UGGGGAAUAUUGCACAAUGGGCGAAAGCCUGAUGCAGCAACGCCGCGUGAGUGAUGAAGGUCUUCGGAUUGUAAAGCUCUGUCUUUUGGGACGAUAAUGACGGUACCAAAGGAGGAAGCCACGGCUAACUACGUGCCAGCAGCCGCGGUAAUACGUAGGUGGCGAGCGUUGUCCGGAUUUACUGGGCGUAAAGGGUGCGUAGGCGGAUGUUUAAGUGAGAUGUGAAAUACCCGGGCUUAACUUGGGUGCUGCAUUUCAAACUGGAUAUCUAGAGUGCAGGAGAGGAGAAUGGAAUUCCUAGUGUAGCGGUGAAAUGCGUAGAGAUUAGGAAGAACACCAGUGGCGAAGGCGAUUCUCUGGACUGUAACUGACGCUGAGGCACGAAAGCGUGGGUAGCAAACAGGAUUAGAUACCCUGGUAGUCCACGCCGUAAACGAUGAGUAUUAGGUGUAGGAGGUAUCGACCCCUUCUGUGCCGCAGUAAACACAUUAAGUACUCCGCCUGGGAAGUACGAUCGCAAGAUUA
rnacentral:rRNA from 1 species